GAACAUUGUGCUGCAUUUUUCGCAGUCGUUCCUGGUUAGGUCUUAAAAUGUAUAUAUUCUCACUUGGAUUCCAAACCCUAACAUUCUAAUAUUAAUUCUACCAAGUGAAGUGCAAGAAUCUAAGUCAUGAAGUCCACCUUAUCACAUUCCGCACACCAGAUUACCUAUAUAUUCAUGAACUUAAGGUUACAGCUUAACAGCUGACCUUUGUAGCAC